rnacentral:rRNA from 1 species
GACAGAGGUGCCGAGCGUUAGGCGGAAUCACUGGGCUUAAAGCGUGUGUAGGCGGGUCGUUAAGUGUCUUGUGAAAUCCCACCGCUCAACGGUGGAACUGCUGGGCAUACUGGCGAUCUUGAGCCACCUAGGGGCAGACGGAACAAGCGGUGGAGCGGUGAAAUGCGUAGAUAUCGCUUGGAACGCCGACGGUGAAAACAGUCUGCUGGGGGUGUGCUGACGCUGAGACGCGAAAGCGUGGGGAGCAAACAGG